ACUCCUACGGGAGGCAGCAGUGGGGAAUUUUGGACAAUGGGCGCAAGCCUGAUCCAGCAAUGCCGCGUGAGUGAAGAAGGCCUUCGGGUUGUAAAGCUCUUUUGUCAGGGAAGAAACGGCUGUGGCUAAUAUCCAUGGCUAAUGACGGUACCUGAAGAAUAAGCACCGGCUAACUACGUGCCAGCAGCCGCGGUAAUACGUAGGGUGCAAGCGUUAAUCGGAAUUACUGGGCGUAAAGCGUGCGCAGGCGGUUUUGUAAGUCUGUCGUGAAAUCCCCGGGCUUAACCUGGGAAUUGCGAUGGAGACUGCAAGGCUAGAAUCUGGCAGAGGGGGGUAGAAUUCCACGUGUAGCAGUGAAAUGCGUAGAGAUGUGGAGGAACACCGAUGGCGAAGGCAGCCCCCUGGGUCAAGAUUGACGCUCAUGCACGAAAGCGUGGGGAGCAAACAGGAUUAGAUACCCUGGUAGUCCACGCCCUAAACGAUGUCUACUAGUUGUCGGGUUUUAAUUAACUUGGUAACGCAGCUAACGCGUGAAGUAGACCGCCUGGGGAGUACGGUCGCAAGAUUAAAACUCAAAGGAAUUGACGGGGACCCGCACAAGCGGUGGAUGAUGUGGAUUAAUUCGAUGCAACGCGAAAAACCUUACCUACCCUUGACAUGUACGGAAUCCCGAAGAGAUUUGGGAGUGCUCGAAAGAGAGCCGUAACACAGGUGCUGCAUGGCUGUCGUCAGCUCGUGUCGUGAGAUGUUGGGUUAAGUCCCGCAACGAGCGCAACCCUUGUCAUUAGUUGCUACGAAAGGGCACUCUAAUGAGACUGCCGGUGACAAUCCGGAGGAAGGUGGGGAUGACGUCAAGUCCUCAUGGCCCUUAUGGGUAGGGCUUCACACGUCAUACAAUGGUACAUACAGAGGGCCGCCAACCCGCGAGGGGGAGCUAAUCCCAGAAAGUGUAUCGUAGUCCGGAUUGUAGUCUGCAACUCGACUACAUGAAGUUGGAAUCGCUAGUAA
rnacentral:rRNA from 1 species